rnacentral:rRNA from 1 species
AGGUGGCGAGCGCUAUCCGGAAUGAUUGGGCGUAAAGGGAGCGCAGACGGGUUUUUAAGUCAGCUGUGAAAGUUCAGGGCUUAACCUUGAAAUUGCAGUUGAUACUGGAGACCUUGAGUGCAGUUGAGGCAGGCGGAAUUCGUGGUGUAGCGGUGAAAUGCUUAGAUAUCACGAAGAACUCCGAUUGCGAAGGCAGCUUGCUAAAGUGUAACUGACGUUCAUGCUCGAAAGUGUGGGUAUCAA